AACGCUUUAAUUUCAGCGCAUAUACAAAUAUAUAUAAUACAUAUGCCCGGGUUUGUGAAUUCCUAAUGAAAUUUCGUUUUCUUUAAAUGUAUAUGGCGAGUCCAAAUAUAAUAGUUUAUAAAUAACAGUAUGCAUAUGAGUUUUUUUAACUUAUCUAGCAGCACGCACAUGUACAUAGUGUAUAUAUGUAUGUAUGGGUAUUGAGAAAAUGUUUAUAAAUAAUAUAUAACAUUUGUAAGUCUGUGCCGGCAUAGUGUUGAUAUCACGAUAGCAACUCAAAUAAUAAUGUUAGCACACAAGUAACUAACUUACAUGAUUGAUCUGCAAAUUAAAUAUCAAAGCUGCGUUUGCAAAUGGCUCAAAGGAAUAGCACAAUGUACAACAACAACAAUAAUAGCAAUAUAUCAAUGUAAAAAGGCAACAAAAAGGGAAGCUUCAACGUCCAAAUAUUUUUUCACGAACUAAACGAGUUUUCAUUUUGGCUUAAAUCGUGUAAUAUUCACAUCAUUCAACAUGGAUGCCAAGAAGGAUACAUGGAAAUUGCCGGUAAGUGGCACUACAUUGCGGCGUCCGGUGCAAGUUGUGAAGAAACGUUCUGGACCGCUGGAUGAUGCACUAAAUGAGCUAUAUCAAGAGAUAAAUGCCGCUCAGGCGCCGUCGGUGGCACAGCCUGAUUUUUCAGUUUGGCAACCAACAGCAACGGAUACUAGUUUGAAAUUACCCUCAUUUGCAGUGACUGCAGCAACACCACAGCCAACGCGUCGGCGUCCAACAAUCAAAGAGAAAGAGAAGAAACGUGAACGAUGGUUACUCACACGCAAAACUUGGAAAUAUAUGGCCGAUGCUGGACGUAAGCUUAUACCAGAAGGCGCACAAAAUCGUAAAGAAGAUAUACCCAAGAUUGAGGCAAAUUUUCAACAUAUUUGUGCUAACGAACCGCGUUUCAUAUUAUGGCGUCGCAAAUCGUCUUAUCCAGGCGCCGUACGCAAUUCGAAGCGUCGCUUGAAACACUUAUUGCAGCAUACGGGUCAAAAGGGACCAAUGACGUUAGAAGCAUUAGAGCAGGAAGAAGCUUAUAAUGCCGAUCGUGUGAUCGAUCUUUUGCAGUCUUACUUAAAGCUUGAUGAUGUUUGCAAAACAACGACAUUGCUUAGCUCGAAAACAGUGCGACCAGAUCAGACAGCUUCACCAAGUGCACGGCGUCCUAGGGUACUCUCAACUAUUAACAGCGGCAGUGGUUCCGGGUUUUUUACGCAACAACUUCCUAAAGAUCUGCAGCAACUGAAUGAAAUCGAUCAAUUGGUCGAACGGUUACGUAGGCUUUCACGUAGUGCGGGUUUAAAUGCAUUCGCAAUACCACCACAGGAGAUUACGCCAGCUAUACUCGAGGAUAAGGUCUUGCUUAAGCAAAUAUAUAAUACCCUUAAAAAACAACAGUUGCAUCGCGUUUUGAGUACACAUUCCACACCGUUAUUAAAGGGUGCACGCCCGCAUAUGAGACAUGCAUCAUCAAUGUGUAGUUUACUACAUUUUGGUGCGGGUAUCAGUGGUGCUAAGUUUGGCGGUAGUAGCAAAGGUCAGGAUUUGAGUUUAGCACCAACAAAUCAAGACCAGUUGUCAUUUAGUACACAGUGCGAUGGACCCCCAACUACCAUAAGAAACAACACUGUAACACCAAAUAUAACAAAUGCAAUAACAACUGGCGCAGUGCCAAAAAAACCAUUGCGUCACGUCGCCAAGGAUCCUGGUGCCAGCCCUGUGCCGCCCUCACCUGCGCCACGACAACGUAAGCCACCGAAUACACUCAACCUAGCAGCCUUAAACAAAGAUAGGACAAGUAAUAGAGCUUCGAGACGUGUGAGACAGCCACAGGUUGUGAAAUCUUUCAAUUCGUGCGGCACUCAAACGAAUUUUAUUCCAUUGCAAGAAAUCAAACGUUUAGCUGAGGAGUACAAGGAUCUCAAACGGGAUGAGGCAGCAUUAAGUUGCACACCGGGCGCCACUGAUGAUGAAACGGAGAAAGGCACCAGCACACCCGCGUCAACAGGCAGCCAACAUCAGCAUUGCCGCAAGAGCUCAAUCGAUAAUGAGGAUGUUUCACAGUCCGUUAGUGAUACGAUUAAGCGUUAUUUACGUAUGGCGCGAAAAAAGAGUGUUAACGAUGAUAACGCUAAUCGCUUUAAACGCGUUAACUAUGAUCGCAAUUUACGUAAUAUCAAAGCCAAGGGUGAAAUCAAUCCACCUGGCAUGGAUGAGGACAAUUCUAAAGCUGCACAAACCUUGGAUGCAUGGCCGGUGAUUUGUUUGGAUUUUAUACGUGGCAAUGAAACAUCUGGUAUCUUAGAGACAGCACAUGCCGAAUGGCAGCGCGCACUAAAUGAACGUAUUCAAAAAAAGCUUGAAUAUGAUCAGAAGAUCAGUGGCGCAAGCGAUUUAAGUGCGGAAACUUUAGCACCGGUUUUAUCGAGUUGUGGUUCCUCAUCUGCACCAACAUCGCCGACAUCGCCGGAAAAUUUCGCUGGAGAUAGUCAAAAUUUUGGCAAUCGUCAAACGCACCAUGGAUUCGGUAGUAGCGUGGGUGGUCUACGACAAGCUGGCUCACAGUUCUUAUCGAAUCUAUGGCACGGCACUAGUAAUAGCGUAACAGCAACGCCUGAAGAUGAAGACGCUGGCAACAUUAGUGGUGGCAGCAGCUUUCUAAUAUUUCAUCGUAGUUCAAAACAUGAUCAAAAUCCAAGGACGAUUGAUUCUGCAACGAAGGAUGCAAGUUUGAGCGCAGCAAUGCAGAAAUCAAAAUCAUCUUCCAAUGUCGGACAGUUUGUCACGCGUAAAAUACUUAAAAGCCGUUCAAAAAGUCAGUCACGACCGAAUACGCAUGCAGCAAUACCGAAAUGGGCGCCAGCGGAAAAAUACACUUGGACUUCAGAUAAUGGUGAUCGUUUACUUAUACAAGAUUCUUGCUUGCAAAAUCUCACGGAUAUUGAAGCGAAAAUUCUAAAACGAGUUGCGAUUGAAAAGAUAAGCGAACUUAAUAUUGGAGUUGAUGUCUCAUUAAAUCAAGAAAGUAAGCCGCAGAAGCGCAGGGUGCUGGCAAAGAAGAAAGCGAUGACUACCAGUUUCUUUGACAUUAGUAAAAAAGAGGAUCAAAGUGGGCACGGUAUAUUUGGCAACACUUUGGAAUGUUGUGUGAACAAUGAUAAGAAACGCGGCAGCAAUUUGAAGGCAUCGUCUGACCGUGGCUCACGUAAUUCGAUAGCAGCACUAUUUCGUGGUGGUGGUGGGAAUGACUCAACAAAUAAGCUACAUGAAAAUGUGCGUUCUUAUGAAAGCUUGCCUUCAAGCACAUUCUCUUUGGCGACGCCACAAACUAGUGAUAACAACUCGCACAAUGGUGGAGCGGGUAGUACCAAAUCGGGUUCUGGCUAUUUUUCCAGCCUGUCAAAAUCGACAUCUGUGCAGAUGCAGAUGUCACGCAGCCAAUCGGAUGUAAGGCGUCACAGUCAAGACUUGGAUCUGCAUGAUCCUGCUUAUUUUAAAGAGCACAGCGAACUGGCUAAUAUUACUUUGCAAGUGCCUACUUUUAUAACAUCAUGCAUAAAAUAUCUAGAAGAGCACGGUUUACACAAGGUUGGACUAUUUCGUGUGAGCACAUCGAAGAAGCGUGUUAAACAGAUGCGUGAGGAAUUUGACAAGAAUAUUGUCACUGAUAUACGCAACGAAACUUGUCCGCACGAUGUAGCAACGUUAUUAAAGGAAUUCCUGCGCGAUCUCCCUGAGCCUUUGCUGUGCAGCGGUCUGUAUAAAGCAUUUUUAGAAACUCAAAGAAUACGUAACCGGCGUUUACAAUUGGAAGCAAUAUCACAUUUAGUGAAACUGCUCCCUGUGGCCCAUCGCGAUACGCUCUAUAUCUUAUUAAAGUUUUUAGCAAGAGUCGCGUCAUGCUCAGACGACAUUACCGGUCACGGUGGCAAUGUACAGGUGUGCGGUAACAAAAUGGAUAGCAACAAUCUGGCAACGGUCUUUGCGCCUAACAUACUGCGUACAAAUUUAACAAACCUCUCUUCAUCGGAUGUAGUAACAUGUGGAAACAGCAUCGAACAGGAGUCGAUGAAUGAUGCCAUAAAUAUAAUAAGAAUUAUGAUAGAUCACUAUGAAGAGAUCUUCAAAGUGCCGGCCGAACUAAUUGACAUUGUCUACUCCCAUAUGUUGGACGUGUGCCCGGAGAACCUUUAUAGUAUAUGCGAGCAACGUAUCCAGAGCGUAAGGGAUGAUAUAGGCAACUCUUGUUCUUCGCUAAACAGUACGGAACAAAGCUUAUGGCCAAUGACCACAACACCUGCUUCGAACAUAUCUUCUUCUAAUGUUAGCAGUGGGGUAGGCGUCAGUCCAAGUACAACUACGAAACGUCUGUACACGCGUGAAUCUGUCAUGCACGAUAAUGAUGCUUGUCGUGUAACAGAAGCGGCAAUAAAUGGUUCGAAUGGUGGAAAACGGAGUAUGCAUUCAAGUCGUCAUUCUAUGACACAAAAGUUACGACAUGAUAGCCGUAAGAGCAAUGCUUCUAAUUCUGACAUAGUGGAUCGACGACAAUCGUCUCCAAAUAUAUUCGAUAAAUCAGGUAUUGUAUCAGCAAGCUUACAAAUUCAAGUGCCUGUGGGCCAUGCUGGCCACCUAAAAUUAGCAGGCAAUACAACGCCAAAGAAACCAAUAUCAAUGUCAGACGAACAAACAGCUUAUGAUUUGGAUGAAGUUUUUUACAAAAGCGGCACCUCUCCGGAUGUGUCGAAAUCGACAUCUUCACAUUCAGUGGACCACUUCGAUUACACAGAUAUUCCGUAUUUUGAAGAUGCAAUAAAUACCCAAGAACUGGAAAAUGUACAUCAAUAUAUUCCAAUCGCUGGUUCAUUGUCCAUCUCAACUAAAAUUGAAGGAUCUGCAAAGGAUUAUCGACAAGUGCAGAUAGUGCAGCAACAACAACAACAGCAAAUGCACAAAAAUCGUACAGGCCGCUUGCGAUUACAGUCGACAACACAACCAUUACCAAUAGUUUUGGGUCAAUAUAACGCUGACGAAAUGAAUGCACCAUCUACGCAGUCGAUCGGCGAUGUUGCGUACCCGUCCAAAUACGAGGCAUUACUUCGGAAGAAAACGGAAAAUCACGAACCUAAAUGUCCAGCGAGCAUUUCUAAUAUUGGUGGUGCGAUAUUGCGUUCGAAAACCGCUGAUUUUGAAAAAAUGUCUGUUAGUAAACAACAACAGCAACAACAACAGAAGCAACGGUUGUCCACAAAUCUACCAGAUACAGCAGUGACUGCUACAACAACAACAGCAACUAUACCGCAUCUUUAUAAACGACAGGAACUAAUUCAGAGUGCCAAGCAGGGCAACGGAAAGAAAUAGUGCAACACUUAAUACUGCUGCAAAGUAUGAGUCAGUGGAUUCUCGUAAUGCAAAUAAUCUCUCCAUUUAGUACGUUGCUCAACGUGAACCGUUAAGAAAUCGAAUGUUAAGCUCAUAAAUAGCAACCUUAGUAAUAAGACUUAAUUUAAACAGUUGCUUUUUGAGUUGAGCCGUUGAUACUAAAAUCGCAAAUUAUUGAAAAGCCGCCAAAAAUGUAAAGACUUGCUAUACGUGUUCCAUUUAGAUAUUUGCUUUUAUACGGCGCUUAAUAUACAUCAACGGUCUCAAAUUUUUUAAAGCAGGCUUGCAGUACGCGCAACAUCUGCUUGUGAAUUCAUAUGUUAAUUAUUGUAGUUUUUGUUUUUGCAUUCGUCACAAAAAAUAAUCACCAUUUUUUUACUUAUUUUUAUAUAUAUUUUAUGUACACAUCGUCUGCCGUAAAUAUUAAAUAGUUGUUAAAACAUGUACCAUAUAUAUUUAUUUUCAGGUAAGAAGUAAUGAUAUAUGUAUAUUUUUAUUUUAGGGCCUAGUUUUCACAGCAGCCGAAAGCGCUUAAAAUGUAAGCUGCUUUCAACCGCAAAAUGCAACCAGGUAAUUUUGCCAUACGAAGCUAGUGGUUUGUAUAGACUUGGAUAGGUAACAAUUACAUAUAUAUACAUGUAUAUCUUUAUGGACUUUUUAAAUACACCCACACAUAUAUAUAUAUUCUUUAAUUUACCAGACGCUGCUACAAAAUAUAAAUAAAAGAAUUAAACGAAAUUAAUGUACUUUGUUUGUACCUAACCUACAUAAGUAUGUCAUAAGUUUAGUUAAGUAAAACUAAUGAUAUAUAAGCUAAACAUAAUUUGAGUUAAUUUUCUAUUAAAAUAGUUACUUCUUUGGCUAGUUGUGCAAUUUAUGCGAAAAGUGCAUAUCAAAAGAAGACUAUCACGUAAUUUAAUUUAUGUUUCAUUUCACAUAACGUAUAUGUCUAUGGUGUGUAUACACAAGUAUUAAGUAUGAUAAAAUAAAAUUUCGAUCAAAUGUCCGCUUUUUAUACUCUCGUAACAUAUUGAAACGGCUACAUAUAAUAACGGGUGAUCUAAGUAGAGGUACUUUUUUCAAUAUCUUUUUUUUGACAGAUCACGCGUGAGUGGUGUCAAGCUAUUAUGUUACUUUGGCCAUUAUUGUUUGGCAUAUCAUCAGUGAAAAACUUACGCCCGAAGAACGUUUACUAAUUGUUCAACUUCAUUACGAAAAAUCUCGUUCUGUAAAGCAUGUGUUUCUGCGCAUAAUCGGCCUAUUAAGCAUACUAUUCAUACCACCAUCACCCAUAUUGAGACCCAGCAUUCUUCAUUGGAUAAUAUUAGGCCGAACAGACCUCAUCCAGCACGGAGUGAAGGAAAUAUAGCAGUAGUAGCUGAGAGUGUACACGAAGACCGUGAAGAGUCGAUUUGGCGCCGUUCGCAGCAACUCGUAUUGAUGUAUGUAACGACUUGGCCCAUUUUACGUCAAGAUACAAUGUUACAAUUGACUGAGGUAUCCGUUCUUGAGUUUAAUAUAUGUAUAUACAAAUGUAUAGAAAGGCAGACGUAAUGUUGAUGGUAUCAGAGUUUUUUCCCUCCAAGAUAAGUGAGAUUAUGGAAAUGACCCUAAGAAGAUUAUACCAAUGGGCAGCAAGCAGUGAAUUAGCUUUAAACCCGGGUUAAACAGACCUGACACUAUUCACGAGUAAAACCAAGAUAUCUCAAUUGAAUAAUUGCUCACUCAGCGGUACAACAAUUACAGCUAAGCAGAUAGAUACCAAUCUGAACCUGUCUUAAACCAAACAUAACCGUGAUUAAACCAUCUUUAACAUAUGGAGCUCUGGUCUAGUGGCCAGCACAACUCAACAAUAUAACAUCAAGGAUUUGAACGGAAUACAUAGGACAGGGUUACUAGGGCGUUUAUGUCAUGUUCGACUGACGCGCUUAAUGUACUCCUACACGAACUGUCCAUAGACGUAUUCAUCCGAAAGGAACUAGGUGGUUGGAACUGAAAGGGUAUCUGAACCAGUUCAUAAACACUUUCAACAAACCAGACUACAUCCUACAAAACUGGACUUCAAUAGUGGCUUUCAGGUAAGGAUAACCUAUUGACGUUAAUGGAGUAGAGGUCUAUUAUGAGAGGAUACUAUCUCAAUGUACACUGUCGAGUCCAAAAUGAGCCACGGAUUAGGUACGGGGGUAUACACUAAAGAUCUAGACAUAACUCUCUCCAUCCGCCUACCAAACUCUCAGAUUAAUCUCUACGUAGUCAAGAACUGCAGGAAGCCCAGCAGAAAAACUCCAACUGCCAAUAAUCUGUUUUCCGGCCACAUUAACAUUAUCGGAAAUGAAAAAAAACAGACGGGUUGACAAAAUGAAUCCAUAAAAAACUAUCAAGAGUGAGCUAUACGCAAAUUUUGAACAAAUUGCUCAAAACAGAUGGAAAAUUGCAACCAAAUAUAAAAUAACAAAACAGAUAUGGACUGUAUUUGGUAGUAUAAAAACUAAGGACUUAUAAAAUAGAUCCAAGAAAAGCAUAUACAGACUUGCAGCCACCAUAACGGGAAAUUAGCUAUUUGGAGAACAUGCUUGAAUAACAACAUAUGCGGUUCCUGCAAACUAGAAAGGUACAAAGAAAAGAUAACUUACUGUUUUUGCGAUGUGCGGCCCACAUAUCACAAUCCACACAUAGGUAGGGAUGCAAACAUCGUGAAUUGAAACAUCGAUGUAUUUUUUAACUUAUUUUAAAUUUAGUGUGAAAAGCUAAGGGAUACAGAAGCAGAAGCACAAAUAAAUGAAAUGUAGUACAUCUUAAGUUGAUACAUUUUAUUUCACUUAGCAUUAUAUGUCUGUUAAAGUUUUUUCUCAAUAAAUAACAGAAUUUCAAAACAACGACAUGGAAAGUUUUUUCACUGUCAUUUCUUUUCGAUUUUACUUCUGCGUGAUAGUUGGCCUGGGUUUAGAAAAUGGUCGUUUACUCGGCACUGAAGUGGCCACAAUGUGUAAAUAUUAAUAAGCUUAUUUAUGCAACUCCGAAACACAGUGUUCAUGUCAACCCAAACUCUAUUGGCUUCUGAUUGGUAGGGGUAACAGCCGAGAUACACUUUCUCUUCAACCUUCCGUCCCUGUAAUUGUAGAUAAAUUUGACAGCUUACAUUUCACCUUUUGGUGGACCAAAUGUUUAUUCUGGUUCCAAAUAUCAAACUAGUAUUCUGUUUGACACUCAUCCGAAGAUUCUGUUGUAUCAGCGCGAUUCUUCGAAUGUUUUAUGAAACAAAAAAAAUUAUUUCUUUUAGCCAUAGCAUCUUUAAAAUGCAGUAAUUUGAAUCUCUGAUCAGUAGUAGCCUAUUAAAUUGUAUAAACAAAUUAUAAAAGUAACCGCAGUAUUGUCCAAGCGCACAUUCCCUUAACAAAUUCUCCGUAUUUUACAAAAUUCGAAUUCCAAUGUAAUAAAGCGUAUCCAAAUAGAGGGUUUCGAGUUAAUACCCGAAAAAGUGUGAAGGUGUGAAGUAAAAUUUUUAUAUAAAACAUCGACAUAAAACAUCGGCGAAAGUGACAUCGAUGCAUCGAUAUUUUUAUGAUGCUUUUUGACGAAAACAUCGAUGUUUCAAAAACAUCGAUACAUCGUUUGCAUCCCUAGACAUAGGACACUUGGAAUUCAUCAAACCUUGAUUGGUUGACCACAAAAAGAUAGUUUCAAAACACUAAACUUAUUUCCAUUUCAAAAGACUUUUCAAUUUUAUUUUUUAAGCUUAGUUUUUGGUUUUGUUUCUGUUUUAGACAAUAUAAGGAAAUUCAUUUAAUUUUAUUACAAUUCACUUUUAAUAUCUGUAAUAAGUGGGCAAUUCGUUUUUGUUUUAUUUUUUCUGUUUUUUUGCCAAUCUUUCAUUAUUUGCUAGAUGGAAGUAGUUAAUUAAAACUGCCAUGUUUUUUCACUGCAUUGCAAUACAUUUUGCUAAACAACAUUAAAAAGUACAUCGAUUGGUUUAUUUAGUUGCAAUUUUGGAUACACUCUGUAUGUACAUAAAUAAGCAAUUUGAUGAAAAUUAGUUAUGCAUAAUCUUAGUAAAUAUAUAGGUUUUUAAUUAAUGCUUUUAUUCAGUGGUGGAUAAUGAAAUGCUUUUAAUUAAUUAACUAAGAUAAUCAUAUGAGCUAAUUCGGGCAAAUGUUGUCAUUAUUGAUUGUUAACAUUUUGUGUUGGUUAAAUGAAAAGUUUUCUGAUGAUUGUGGAAACAGCAAAUUAUAUAAAAAACACUAUUUAUGUUGAUUUUGAAAUCGAUUUUUUUGUAUCUCAUUUAUGUAAUUUAUAUGUAUUCAAGUAAACGAUCUGAAAUAUCAAAUCAAUCCGAUGAAAGUAGAUGGCCGGUAGAUGUCGCCUUGUUUUUGUGUGUUUUGAAAAUCGGUGACCAAGAUUUCUCGGAAAUAGCUGAACCGGUUAGUCUAAAAGUUUUACACAGGCUUCUGAACUAUAUUUUCUAACACUAAAUCGAAGCUUUUUAUUACCGUUAAAAGUUAUUUUUUUUAUUUAAGGGCAAAAUAAGGGCAAAAAAUCGUUUAAUUUUAGAAGCCGCCAUUUUGUGUUUUGCGUAUUCCUUCGAUUAAAAUUACAAGUACAUACAUUACUUUAACGAAAUCCGUUUGGUUUUUACAUUUCAGUUGAUGCACUUCAGAGAUAUAGUGGUCACCGCAAUUCGCCUAUUUUUGGUAGCGGUUCCCGGAGAUCUUCUAAAAGCUUCAAAAACUGUUCUUAUUACAAAUAAAAAAUUAUUCAAUUCUCUUCAAAGUUACUAUAAUAAUAUGUGUACAAAUUCUUAUAAUAAUAAAUUUAGAAAUUUUCCAAGGAAAAAUGUUUGAAAAACCUCAGUUUUUUGGGCUCCUAACAUUAUGUGGUUAAUGGACCUAUGUCCAACUACAAGUAAGCCGAAAUUAAAAAAAACGUUUUCCUCAACUGUAUAGUAAGUAGUGAAGUCACAGUAAUAUCUUAAGUUGCAAUUGAAAUAUUAGUUACCGAUUUUAAAAGUUUUUAAAGAUUUUACAACGCCUCAAUAUAGCUGCAAAGAGUUGGGUGUUGCAGAUAGCUCAUUUAUUGUAGAAGUUAUGGACUGUAAACUUAACAUGCUAGUUUAAAAACUGUAAAUUCGUUACAAAUCUGAACGCUGUCUUAAAAUUGUAAUAUGUGCGCUAAAAACAUACAUGCGUGUGUACAAAUAUGUACAUAUAAUGUUUAUUGCUGUGACCUUAUCUUUAUUUACCUAUUUAGUAAAAAUCUUGGCAAUAACUUUUUUUUCGUUUUGAACGCAAUUUAAAACUCCAGCUUCACACAACGUACAGUCUUGCAGAAAUUUGUUAGCAUAACUCAAAUUGCACCUACUAACUUAAUACAUUUUAUUCAAUUGUCACAUAUUGCCAUUGGAUUUCAUCAUUUCAUUUGUUUAAUUGCUGAUUUUAUACAGUACACAGUACAGGGUACCGUUUUUAUGCAAUUAAUGCGUAAGCACGGAAGAAUUUAUCGUUUUUUCUUUAUUGUUUUGCUUUGACGAUUUCUAUAAAUUAACAAAGGUUUUAAAUUAUUUAUAUAAUUACACUAUAAGUUUAUAUUAUCGUUUUUUAUCAAUUAUUUCUUAUUUUGUUGUAAACAGAUAACAAAAAUAAAAAAAAAUGAAAAUAAACAAAUUCUUAUUUAUUUUAAGCAUUGUAUUUAUAUAUUUUUGUGAUUGAUUUGGUAUAAUUGCCCUCAAGUUAAACUUGAAGUUGUUUUCCUAAAUUCGUACCCAAUAUACAGCUGAUCUACCAUAACUCGAAAUUUCAUAACUCGAACUCUUGAAUUGGCAAUAGCAGUCAAAUUUCAUACAAAUUACCUGCCACAACACGAUUUUUUUUUUUGAUUAUGGUGACACGAAUUAGGGAAGUCAACUGUAUUUAUACGCUUUGUAAUUUGUUGAAAAAUAUCCACAAUUUGUUUAAUUAAUCGCAAUUCGUGGUUUUGGACAAAACUAGCACAAUUAGUCUUUUCUAUGUUUGUAUACUUAACAUUUAGCAUAACAUUAAAAUGCGCUGGCAUAUUUGGCAUCUAUUAUGUGGCUUUCAUAUAAGUUGUUUUUAUAGUUCGUUAAACGCUGAGGGAAAACUUUAGAAUAUCAUCCCACGAUUUCGCGGAUAAAAUGUGUAUGGUUGGAUAGAGGAGAUCCUCCAGAUUAAUAAUAUAUAUAAUUAUAGCCGCAGGAGACUUAUAGUUUUCGAGAUAUUCGCGUUUAAAAUUUAAAAAUUGUAUAAUUUUAACACGUAAUUUCUCGCUAUAUAGUUAAUUUUUCAUUUAUAUUUUGCACUUAUUAUACAUUUAUACUUCACUACUUUCUUUCUAUAUAUUUAUUUUAUAUUAAUUAUUUAGAAAAUUGCUUUAAAUAAGCAUUUUAAUUUUUAUUCAAUUUUAUCAAUUGACACAAUAACAAAAGGGUUGCAUGCUGACGAAAAAGAAGCAUUGCCAUAUCUAAAAAAAUACAAAUGAUUCAUAAUUAAUAAAAAGGAGGGAUUUUACCCCAAAAUAAUUUUUCGGGGUGUCCUAAGUCCCAUUCGCGUAGUAUUAAUUUCUGCAUUGAUUGAAAAAAAUAACCCUGGUCGAGCCAACACCGGGAAUUAUCAAAGAAAUGGAAAUCAUAACUUUUUUCGUGUAGAACUACUUUCAACAUUGGCGGCCUUCCCUCCUUUCUAUAUAUUUUGAUUCAUUUUACAAUUUUUUAGAUAUGGCAAUGCUUCUAUUUCGUCAGCAUGCAACCCUUUUGUUAUUGUGUUAAUUGAUAAAAUUGAAUAAAAAUUAAAAUGCUUAUUUAAAGCAAAUUUCUAAAUAAUUAAUAUAAAAUAAAUAUAUAGAAAGAAAGUAGUGAAGUAUAAAUGUAUAAUAAGUGCAAAAUAUACAUGAAAAAUUAACUAUAUAGCGAGAAAUUACGUGUUAAAAUUGGACAAUUUUUAAACUUUAAACGCGAAUAUUUCGAAAACCUGCGGCUAUAAUUAUAUAUAUUCUUAAUCUGGAGGAUUUCCUCUAUCCAACCAUACCCACUAUAUCCCCGAAAUCGUGGGAUGCUAUACUAAAUCCCAGCCAACGCUGAACGAAUGGAUAUCAUCGCACAAUAAUAAGGAAGCACUGAGCAAGGAACAAAUAUUUAUUAUUUACUAAACUAGUUAGAUAUGAAGUUGAAAUACGAAUGUCUACUUGUUCGUUAGUCCGUCUGUGCAAGCUAUAACUUCAUUAAUGGUAAGAUAUCUUGAAUCUCUGAUAUCUGUGCGAAUGGCCAGCCUUCGUCGGGCUCACUUUGCCUACCUUUCAAACAACCAACCAACCAAGACACUUUGAUAAAACUUUGUACACAUAUUCCUUGCUACCGCCAUUGUCACGUCCACAAAAUACUUUAACCAAAAGCUAUAACUAAGCCAUACAUAUAAAUAUAAAAGUUGGAGUGAUAUUUGGUAUAGCAGAUCACAACAAAGAGGAACAUAUUUAGAGAAAUUUUAUUGGACCGCCCCUCAAACACUUAGAGUACUAAAACUCUUUGAACCUAACUUACAAGUCACAUGAAAAGUUAAGAAUUCAGUUAAUAACCACGCCAGAAUUCUCGAAAUCGGCCUGUGAAUUUUUGUGAAAACCCUAGCUAUCCCACAUGAAGGUCUCAGUGCAUCUGGUUAGAUUAGUUCAAGGGUAGAUCUUCGCAACUGCAGAAAGUCUCAUUUAGACAGCUGCGACUGUCCUUUGUGAUACCCAAAUACAUCUGACGGAUCGCAAAGACCGCGCUUGGAGCGCUAUUAUUAAGUUCUUUAGUCGGUCAAUGUCGAUUCCAGUUACUUCGCUGCGUGUGCCGAAGAUGUGCCAACCGCGGUGUUUUAACCAAAGUCUGGUGAAUACUGAACAUUGAAGGAUGAAGUGCUUGGUUGAUUCCUGUUAGUCUUCCUCUAAGCAACUUUGGCAACUAGCGUCUGGCUGGCUUCCUAAUCUGUUAGUGGCUAAUUUGUUUUCGAAAAUAUCGGUGAAUUUUCUAUUUUACAGAAAUUCAGUAGGAAUAAGUGAGCGUAUAAGCUUAAAUAUUAUGAAUGAUGUGAUUAAAUUGUUCAAGAGCUCGCUCGCUUUUUGGUGGAUUGUACUAUUACGGUUGUACAUAAGUAGGUUUAAUAUGUUGAAUUCGGUUAACAUUAUGAAAAUUGUGUAUUUUAGUUAUGCAUUUACAUUUAUUUGAUCUAAAAAAUUGUCAUAUACAAAUAUGUAUUUGUGUGCCUGCAUUUAAAUUACUAUGACACUAUUUGUUCAUUAAAAAAUGUAUUCUGUUGCAAAUUUUAAAAAUGUAAUUUGUACAUUUGUAGACAAAGUGAAGUGCUAAAUACAAUAAACCACGACUUGCAGAGAAUGUGCCUUCACAGCGCAGCUCAUACAGUUGUUAUCAAAAUAAUAACAGUGCAAAUUUAUUUUAAGGAUAAUUAAGAAAAAAAUUCUGUUCUUUAUCUUUAUCUUAUUUAAUAAGUUAGGAAAAAAUAUAAACAAAAAGAGUAACUCUUAUUAGCUCGCUGAAAGACCCAAACCAAUCGCAAUUCAUUGCUGGCACAAGAAAGCAAAUUAGUAAAAAAGUAGUUUGGACGAAGUAAUGAAACUUAUUCAAACUAAUUUAGGAAAUGGGGAAACGAAAAAUAUCCAUAUUAUACCCUUUAACAUUUCAAAAAUGACAUUUUUCAUUUGUUCGCCCCAAGGUCACUCACAAAAGUAUACAUAUGUACAUUAUAAUAUACAUAUUUCUUAUGAAAAGUGUUUGCUUUUUCUUACUACAAGUUCAGUCUAUAUUCGCAUUCAUAUCGAAGUAUCGUUUUUGGUGAUUGAUUACCGAACAAAUAAUUGCCAAAAACUUCAACCUUAAAACACGAUGGAUGAUCAGUGAUGGUAUGGGGCUGCAUGACAGCAAAGGAUAAGCAUUAAGCAUUCUUCGAUCCUGGUGAGCGAAUGAUUACUAUAUAACCUGAAACAAAAUUAGAACAUUAUCCGCAGUCGCCAGAUUUAAAUGUUAAAGAGCAUUUGUGGGAUCACAUCGGAACAUUACAUCCUCAUUAAAAAAUAUCGGAAGAAUUCACUAAAACAUUCUCUUUUGAUGCCAAACCGAGUGUCGGCUUUGAAACCAGGGAAGAAGAAACAAUGGCGGCUCCAGUCGAACCUCCAAAGGUGCAUCAUGUGGAUGCAAUUAACUGUGAGUGCGAAAAUGUAUAAAUGUAUAUAUAUGAAGUUUCAAAAAUAUUUUACUGAGAAGUCUAUAAGAAGAGGCAUUGCAAAGGAGUUUGCAAUUAAAAAAAGACGUCAGCUUUAAAUGACGGAUGUCUGGCAAACUGAUUUUAUACCGAAAACCGAAAACACAAAGUGUCAUAACUAAGCUAUAAACAAAGUUAGUUGUUAAAAUUGGUACAAAGGAUCGCACUAGGAGGGGGCAUAUUUGGAUGUAAUUUUUUGGGGAAGAGGGCAGGGCAACGCCCACAAAUAUUUUUUUUGUAUAUGUCUCGCAAACCAAUAAAGCUAUACAAACCAAACUUUCUGCAGUCAUUUCCUUACGUACCCCAUCAUACACCAUGAAAA